GAUGAACGCUGGCGGCGUGCCUAAUACAUGCAAGUCGAGCGAACGGACGAGAAGCUUGCUUUUCUGAUGUUAGCGGCGGACGGGUGAGUAACACGUGGAUAACCUACCUAUAAGACUGGGAUAACUUCGGGAAACCGGAGCUAAUACCGGAUAAUAUUUUGAACCGCAUGGUUCAAAAGUGAAAGACGGUCUUGCUGUCUCUUAUAGAUGGAUCCGCGCGGCAUUAGCUAGUUGGUAAGGUAACGGCUUACCAAGGCAACGAUGCAUAGCCGACCUGAGAGGGUGAUCGGCCACACUGGAACUGAGACACGGUCCAGACUCCUAAGGGAGGCAGCAGUAGGGAAUCUGCCGCAAUGGGCGAAAGCCUGACGGAGCAACGCCGCGUGAGUGAUGAAGGUCUUCGGAUCGUAAAACUCUGUUAUUAGGGAAGAACAUAUGUGUAAGUAACUGUGCACAUCUUGACGGUACCUAAUCAGAAAGCCACGGCUAACUACGUG
rnacentral:rRNA from 1 species